GGCGACGUGGCCGAGUGGCUAGGCAAGGGUCUGCAAAACCCUCGACCCGGGUUCGAUUCCCGGCGUCGCCU
rnacentral:tRNA from 1 species